AACAAUACCAAUAUAGAAACUUGGCCACCAACUUUUUCUGACAACUUUUUCUGUCAGGACCCCCUGUGAGGAUGAAGGGACAUUUUAAAUUUCUAUUCUUAUGUUCUACAUUAUAGUACUUUUUAUGACUCAGAUUUGUAGUUUUAAAUAUUUUUAUAGCUAUGUGAAAAAGCUGCUCCGAAACUGAGACCGUUGCCAUGGUAUUAAAUGUCUAAAUGUUUUUCCUUUUGUACUUCAGAACCAAACUUGCACACGAUAUUAAUGAUUGUGGCACUUCGCAACAGAAUAAUCACAAGGUACAAUCGACCUCUUCUUGAGCUGACAAUUUACAAAAACAUAUGGAUUACACAUAAUGCAGAAUUAAAGACUUGAGUGGCAACGUUAUCAGUGAGGCUUUAAACUAAUCAAUCGAGGUUAAUGUCCGAUUUUUGUAUUUUUUUCAUAUCAAACGAUAAAAGAGAAAUACAAUUUGAGUGUGUUGAUUAGUUGGGGAGAAGGCAUUGGAAUAGUACUGUAUCAUCUAAUGAUGUUAGAAAAUGAGGACAUAAAUUGAUUGACAUAAAAGGAUUUAGGUAUUGUAAGGCUAAUAGUUUACAGCAUCUAUUACAGCGUUUAUCAAAUUCUAUAUCAACAUUUAAAUGCCUGCGCAGCUCAAUUUUUCGCAUAUCUAUUCAUUGCUGAUCCAAAUCAGUGUGAGUGCGUCCCCAGUCUGCGUCAGACACAGCACUCAUUAAUAUCCUCUGCUCUCGUGUUUCCCAGAGUGCGCGGCGUACAGGCACGCUCAGUGCCAUUCACAGGGCAACUCUCCACGGACGGCAGAUGAGCGACAAGUGAAGUGAAUAUAAUGUUUUUCAGGAAUCAGGAAACAUUUAUUGCCAAAAUAUGUCAAACAUACAAGGAAUUUGUCUUGGCGGUUGGUGCGUGACAGUAGACAGUGUAACAAUAGACCACAAUAAAGUAAAAAGAAAUGCUAAUGCAAUGGGUUAGUAGAAUAGGGCUAUGGGUUAGUAUAAAACAAUAAAUAAAGUUAAAGUUAAUGAUUUAAAACAUUAAAAAAUUUAAAUAUUAAGCAUAAAGUGACGACAAAGUGACGAGUGACGACAAAGUGAAAAAUUGCAGUAAAAGUGACAUGUGCAGUAUGAAGGGGAGUGACCGGUGGAAUGUUAUAGUCAGUCAGUGGUGGACCGGGCUCUGUUGAUGAGCCCGACUGCCGAUGGGAAGAAACUGUUCGUGUGGCGGGAGGUCUUAGUCCUGAUGGACCUCAGCCUCCUGCCAGAUGGAAGGGGCACAAACAGUUUUUGUCCGGGGUGAGAGGGGUCGGCUACGAUCUUUUUAGCUCGCUUCAGAGACCUGGAAGCGAACAAGUCCUGCAGGGACGGCAGAUUGCAGCCGAUCACCCUCUCUGCAGAGCGGAUGACACGCUGCAGCCUGCCCUUGUCCUUGGCUGUGGCUGCAGCGUACCAGGCGGUGAUUGAGGAAGGGUGGACAGAGGAAAAAAAGACAGAUGUAAGCAAAGUAGAAGAAUUGGUAACCUCUGCUUUUAGGCUUGAAUAAUCAUGCCACAAUGGCUAGGGUAUAAAUACAUCAAAGUUUACCAAAAUUUUUGCGUGAGGGUCCGCCUACCUAACAUUUAAAUGUGUGUUUGUAGCGUCAUUUCAGCGCUGAAUGCACAUUAACGCAGUAUGGUCAUUCUUUACAUUUCAAUUCUCACCAUGUUCUGUGUGUUCACUGAAUUAUUUUAGGUGUUUUCCUGUAAUGGAAAACUUGCGAUAUUACCUUUCUAAAGCUACAGUGACAACACCUAUUCAGGCGUCCGCAAUGUAAAGGAUUAAACUUAUUCUGGAUUUCAAUUCAGACAUAACAUAUAUACACACACAACAGAAUCCCCAGAAGCAUCUGGGGAGAACAAGUAAAAUAUCCUUCAUUGGAUAUUUAGACAUGAAUUUAGAUCGAGUUAUAGCAUGACCAUUGGAGGAAUUGCGUAUCUUUUUCUAGUCCACUGUUGGACAAAAAGGUACGUGCACACACACAAAUAGUACAAUUUAGUUGAACAAAUGUUGACUCUGUCUCCUCUUCCUAUAUGUGAUGCUCCCAUGGUAACCGUGGUUUUGGGUUUGCAAAAAUUUGCGAAAAACAGUUUUCACUUUGUCAUUAUGGGUUGUUGUGUGUAGAAUGUGGAGGAAAAUAAUGAAUUUAAUCCAUUUUGGAAUAAGGCCGUAACAUAACAAAAUGUGGAAAAAGUGAAGCGCGGUGAAUACUUUCCGGAUACACUGUAUAUAUAUACUUUCUAUAUUUUCCCAGAUUGGAAGUUCAACCUACCAAACUCUUGACAUGCUUGACAGCAUAUAUUAUUAUUGCACUAUAUACACUUGAGUAUAUGGUAUAAACAUAUACAGUAACAAAUUGGGUCACAUAAAGUCACAUAAAAACAUUAUUGGUUUUCAUACCCUAUUUGGGCUUAAUUACUAGUUUUACCUCCCUUUUUUAAACCACCCUGACCAACACGGUGUGUUACAAUUUUGGUAAAAGUAGGGUUCAGUAAUGGCAGUUCUAUGAUUUAUAUUGACCCAAAUAGCAAUCUAUUCCUAAACCUGUGCUUUUGUUGCCUGAACAUAACUAUGUAUUUCCCGGUAUGUUUCUAAACCUAACCAUUGACUUCUGUUACCUGACUGAGUUGAGAGAGGUUUUUUUUUUUUUUACUUUAAAAAGCAGAAAUUGACACCUGUUGCAGGCCUUUUUCUGGCAAAAAAUGCAUUAUUCCAAAAAAUAUUUGUAGAAUACCAUAUUAACUGUUAGAGUGACAUGGCAGCAUUGAUAAAUGCAGAAAAUAAAAAAGGCGAAAGUUAAGAAAGGGAAUGCAUCUAACGCCGACUGUAACCUUGAGGUGGAUCCGGGUGUGUUUCAGGCAUAUAAACAUAACUUGGAACAAAAAUGAUAGUUAGCACCGUUAACCGACUGGUUC
ensembl:lncRNA